ACAGGACGUCACAGAGGGUGAGAAUCCCGUGCGAUGAGAUGUCCAUUACCGUGUAAAGUGCUUUCGAAGAGUCGAGUUGUUUGGGAAUGCAGCUCUAAGUGGGUGGUAAAUUCCAUCUAAAGCUAAAUAUUGGCGAGAGACCGAUAGCGAACAAGUACAGUGAUGGAAAGAUGAAAAGAACUUUGAAAAGAGAGUGAAAAAGUACGUGAAAUUGUUGAAAGGGAAGGGCUUGAGAUCAGACUUGGUAUUUUGUAUGGCUUGCUUUCGGGCGGGUCCUCUGCAGUUUACUGGGCCAGCAUCGGUUUGGGUGGCAGGAUAAUAGCAUUGGAAUGUGGCUCUACUUCGGUGGAGUGUUAUAGCCUUUGUUGAUACUGCCUGGCUAGACCGAGGACUGCGUCUUUUGACUAGGAUGCUGGCAUAAUGAUCCUAAGCCGCCCG
rnacentral:rRNA from 1 species